GUUGUCGUUCUCCCGUAUCCCUAACCUCACGAAGCCCACCAUCCCACUCAUCCCCUGCCAUGGAUGGCGCCGCCGCCCUGCUCCCGACUGUUGUUGUCGCUCCGCUUCCCAUCUGCCGCCGCUGUCCACUACUAUCCACUACAUCCAGCCUCUGUCGCAUCCCACCGCCUCCACCACCACCAUGAACCAUCUCUCUUCUUGGUCCUCUCUCUUGGACCUUCACAUGGCAGCGGAUGCUUCUGGUGGCGUGUGGCGACGCGACCGGUGGAGGGAACGGGGUUGAGCCCGACUGUGUCCCAUUCAUCAAUCUGUGCCCACCUCAUGUUCCUCCUCUCCAUCGAAUGUCACAUCACCAGUUACUGCGACACACGACGCUCUCCUCUCUUGAGACGAUGCUUAUAGGCGAAAAUAAUGGCGUCCUGUUGUGCCCCUCCACACUUGGGACCACCGAGGCACGAAAGUACCCAGGGAAGAUCGGCCAUGUUCUAAGUGGCUACCCAGCAAGGUAAUUUUCUGCUCUGAAGUUCUCUCAUGGAAUGUGGGUGGAAUCGAUUGGCGGAUGUGCUAGGUGGAGUGCCAGUGGAUGGCCAUGUUAGUGGGCAGAACUCCUCUCCUACACACACAAACUUGGGUUUGGCAAGGAACUGGGUCAAUACUACUAUCCUUUGGCUUUGCAAUGGUGAUUUAGGUAGUUUUGUUUUUUCGAAUCAUGGUGGUUUAGUUAAUUUGUUAACAGACGCUUCAGUUAGGACUAAUAGUCAAGAGAGGUCAACUGGAUUGAACUUAACAGAGGACAAUGCAAUUUUGUUAUAAUUGGUGCUUUAGUUAGUUUUAAUGAAAUGGUUCAUUGGCUCAACUUCUAUUUAGCUUACUAUAGUAUAGUCGUGUGGAUUGUCGGUGAUGAAUAAUACCCAAUGCAUUGUUUCCUAUUGCCCAGUGUUCUACAGUUAAAUAUGCAGAACUUGAGCUUUGUUUGCCAAGAAAAUGUCUGUUAGUUCCCACAAGGAGUAAUUCAUUCCCCGUCCAAGUAUUUAUAUACAAUCAUUGAUACUUUAUUUGUUUAUGCUGCAGAGACGUGGUCACAUGGAUGAUUAUCAUCUUUUGGCAAAAGCAUGUUAAUUGACUGAAGAAAUAGUACUGCACCUAUGACUAUGAUCGUAGAUGUCCAGUCUUGAUUUUUGAGGACCAGUUUAGGAUGUGAUCAUUUGUGCGGAUUCAAAGCUGCUUGACAUGAUUUUUACUAAUCUGAACGUCGGGCAUAAUCAAUGUUAAGUAGGCUUCAUUGAAUUCUUAAUAAGGAAAUUACACAAUAUGAUGUGUCUGCCAUGGUAUUAGUGUUGUUUGAAGAAUUUCUUCUUCUUACCAAUUAGGCAGAUGCUUUAACUAUCGAUGCAGACCCUGUGCUGGAUGUUCAUCAGCAACGCCAGUCAGGGGUUCGGGCUCCUGUGGAGCUCAUGGGAUCAGUCAUAUGAACCUCAUGUAUUUGAUAGUUUUCUCCAUCACUUUUAUGCGUUCAACUAUAGAUAAUUAAGGCUACCCCACAAGUUCAUUGAGAUUUGUUUUUAUAGGACUUGGAUUAAUAAUCUCCAACAAUAUUGUUAUUGCCUCUUAUAUAUACUUUUAGUUCUAAUUACAUUUCAGAUUUUCUUUAUGCUGUACUACUAAACUGUGUGUUCUAAACCAAAGAUGACAUCUGCGUCUUUUUAUGCAUGCAUGUUUUAAGACAAUAUAUCUAAUAUGUAGUAUAUAGAAAGGUACCUAAAAUAUUAGCUUAUAUUGCCAACUCUUGAAAAUAUACGAUCCUUUUACAUUUUUUGCCGUGAACCUGGGGAGCUUGGCACGAAGUAUGGUGUCAAUAAUCAGUAUAUACCAGGACAAUAUUUCAACAAUGACGUUGCUUGGCUCAAUACUUCCUUCACCACCAAUCUAGCUGCAAACUCUGUUUCUCCUUGAAUGUAGGUCCAUAAAGGUUGUGCUUUCUGUGCAUCUAAAAGUAAGGUUACUAUCAUAAUUACAGUAAAGCUUCUUCUCUAUUCAAAAUGAAUUUGAUAAGCAACAAAGUCCUCUGUGUCAUGCUUCAGUUAUAUGGCUCGAGCUGGCCAAACCUGAAAUGUUCGGUGAAGAUUCAAAGUACAUCUAGAUUACUUUGUGUUUCCCACAAUCCUAUUACUUGAUUUUUUUGCUAACUAUCUCUAUGGAUAAAUCUGCAAGAUGAUGCAAAAAAGUUGCAUGCAGAUAGGCUGUGUACAGACAUGCAUGGUGUAAGUUUAUACCUUUUACAAUAUUGAGAUUUGUUCAGAUGCUUCUAAGCAGUGCUCUAGCAGAAUGGUGCUACAUUUCCUUACUGUUGUUGCCAAAUAUUUGUUUUGUGGCAUAUCAAGACUGGACGGCAUCAUUCUAAUGACCUCACCCUAGGAGUUCACUUCUACACGGUCAUGGCAUCCGCCUCCACCAAUUAUCUAGAGCAGUUAAGUUCUAGAGACGAUCGGGGAGGUCAACUUUGAGCUGCAGCACCCUAUGUGUUCACGCAAUCGGAACGCCCGAAAUAUCACGCCAAUAUGAGGGACGCCCGAAAUAUGAAGCCCAUAUGUGAUUUAUGCCUUUUCUGUUAGGAUUAUCUCCCUUCUCCACAGCUAAUUGCUUGAUGUGUUCAAUGGUCCAGUUGAAUUGGAUACAAGCAUGCUACAAAUCUAACAGUAAUUUAAUAAGUUCAUUCUUCGCAAACAAGAAACUCUACAUGCUGUGGAGAACCACUUCUACAACAGAUUAGGUUACUUGGUGGGAAGAAAUUGGCAUGGGCCAAAACUCAGUCUGUCUCACGUGAGUUUACACUAUUACAAAAAAUUACUACAGAUGUAGAACAAGCCUGCGGGAAUUUUGCGUCUUGACUAUCUGUCAUAUUUUAUAACUGUCAUACUUUGUAGUGCUUAUAACGGGGGAUAGAUUCUGAGAUGUACUACUACUGAUGUGACCAAGGAUGCCCAGUUUCUUUACAUGAUAUUGAGUACUGCAACUUCAAGGCUUCUUCAA